GCCAAUUAAGUGUUAUCCACUCUGCACGUUGACUUUUCACGUCAAAAGAGCACAUUAGUGCACUUGGUU
rnacentral:tRNA from 1 species